rnacentral:rRNA from 1 species
GACGUAGGGCGCGAGCGUUGUCCGGAUUUAUUGGGCGUAAAGAGCUCGUAGGCGGCUUGUUGCGUCGACCGUGAAAACCCGCGGCUUAACUGCGGGCUUGCGGUCGAUACGGGCGGGCUGGAGUUCGGUAGGGGAGACUGGAAUUCCUGGUGUAGCGGUGAAAUGCGCAGAUAUCAGGAGGAACACCGGUGGCGAAGGCGGGUCUCUGGGCCGAUACUGACGCUGAGGAGCGAAAGCGUGGGGAGCGAACGGG